rnacentral:rRNA from 1 species
AUUGAACGCUGGCGGCAGGCCUAACACAUGCAAGUCGAGCGGAGCGGCGGACGGGUGAGUAAUGCCUAGGAAUCUGCCUGGUAGUGGGGGAUAACGUCCGGAAACGGGCGCUAAUACCGCAUACUAUCAGAUGAGCCUAGGUCGGUUGAGCUAGAUGGAGGGGUAAAGGCCUACCAAGGCGACGAUCCGUAACUGGUCCGAGAGGAUGAUCCGUCACACUGGAACUGAGACACGGUCCAGACUCCUACGGGAGGCAGCAGUUGGGAAUAUUGGACAAUGGGCGAAAGCCUGAUCCAGCCAUGCCGCGUGUGUGAAGAAGGUCUUCGGAUUGUAAAGCACUUUAAGUUGGGAGGCGUUAUCAACAGAAUAAGCACCGGCUAACUUCGUGCCAGCAGCCGCGGUAAUUG